rnacentral:rRNA from 1 species
AUGGCUGCAACCACCAUGUCACUCUCUUCCCCAGCCUUUGCCGGCAAGGCAGUGAAGAACCUGCCAUCGUCGUUUCUUUUCGGGGAGGCUCGCGUCACCAUGCGCAAGACAGCGGCAAAGGCCAAGCAGGUUGCCUCCGGCAGCCCGUGGUACGGCUCUGACCGCGUGCUCUACCUCGGCCCGCUUUCUGGCGAGCCCCCGAGCUACCUCACCGGCGAGUUCCCUGGUGACUACGGCUGGGACACUGCUGGGUUAUCAGCCGACCCUGAGACCUUCGCCAAGAACCGUGAACUGGAGGUGAUCCAUUGUCGUUGGGCCAUGCUUGGUGCGCUCGGUUGCGUCUUCCCCGAGCUGCUCGCCCGCAACGGUGUGAAGUUCGGCGAGGCUGUUUGGUUCAAGGCCGGAUCCCAGAUCUUCAGUGAGGGUGGCCUCGACUACCUCGGCAACCCAAGCCUCGUGCACGCGCAAAGCAUCCUUGCCAUCUGGGCAUGUCAGGUCGUGCUUAUGGGCGCCGUUGAGGGUUACCGCAUUGCGGGCGGACCACUCGGUGAGAUCGUAGACCCGCUCUACCCAGGCGGCAGCUUCGAUCCGCUCGGCCUUGCCGAUGACCCUGAGGCAUUUGCGGAGCUCAAGGUCAAGGAGAUCAAGAACGGUCGUCUCGCCAUGUUCUCCAUGUUUGGUUUCUUUGUGCAAGCCAUUGUCACCGGCAAGGGUCCACUUGAGAACCUCGCUGACCAUCUCGCCGACCCUGUCAACAAUAAUGCUUGGGCAUUCGCCACCAACUUUGUUCCUGGGAAGUAA